CAGUAGCCGCGGUAAUACAGAGGGUGCAAGCGUUAAUCGGACUUACUGGGCGUAAAGGGCGCGUAGGUGGUUAUGUAAGUGAGAUGUGAAAUCCCCGGGCUCAACCUGGGGACUGCAUCUUAUACUGCGUAGCUGGAGUGCAGUAGAGGGUAGUGGAAUUUCCGGUGUAGCGGUGAAAUGCGUAGAUAUCGGAAGGAACACCAGUGGCGAAGGCGGCUACCUGGACUGACACUGACACUGAGGCGCGAAAGCGUGGGGAGCAAACAGGAUUAGAGACCCCCGUAGUCCCUGUCUCUUAUAC
rnacentral:rRNA from 1 species